ensembl:lncRNA
AUUAAUAAUAAAAGAAAAAUGGGAACAUGUAUAAGGUUUAGCGUUUCAAUAUUAAUAUAUAACAUUAAUAGUAUUUAAACUGAGUGCGGGUACUAAGACCGCCCACUGCGUAAAAUAUUAACCAAUUAACAGCUUACCUCAUAGGAUUCCCUGGGACCAGCCACUGCACCAAAUCUUAACAAAUUAGCAGUCAAGAUAGGCGGAGCUCUAAGCUUUCCUAUGCUAGGGGAUCUCAUUCUCCGGUUGGUGGCUGAACGUGCAGGAUAUCUCUCCAGCUAGGCGCUGAGAAACGGAGCUAAACACUAUAAAUUUGAGAGUUUGCGAUUGGGAGUGACCUCUGGAGGAGGUGCAGACGAUAGAGGAAAAUCAGCUGACCAGAGCGACACACGGAGUGAGGCUGCUGACGUCAGUGUGUGCAGCGUCUGCUCUCCUUUAAGGCCAGUGCGGCCUAUCCACAAAUUCUCUCCACUUGUAUUCUAAGUAUAUGCAUAUAGUUUAUAUUUAAUAUUGAGAUUGAUGAGUGAGGUAUAUAGAUGUCACCAUUAGGUGAUAAAUAGAUGUUUGUUUGCUGCACACAGGAAUAAAUUUGGGGAUAGUUGGGCCUUGGUCGGAGCAUGUGAGUUUUGAUUCCUUUGAAGUUGGCAAAUUUAUUUUAUUUUUAUUAACUGUGGUAAAGGGCAGCUUAGAAAAUAAAUAAAAAAUUAAGGAUACGAGAGAAGAAAUUUAAAUAGCUUUCAGUGAUUUUAGUCUUAAUAAUUAGAUCUAAUUUAAAGGGAAUACAAGCGAAUCAUUGCAAUGUCAAAAAAGGACACCAAAAUGUCAAAAGUGAUUACUCC